rnacentral:rRNA from 1 species
UACCCAGACUCCUACGGGAGGCAGCAGUGGGGAAUAUUGCACAAUGGGGGGAACCCUGAUGCAGCAAUGCCGCGUGGGUGAAGAAGCCCUCCGGUGCGUAAAGCCCUGUCAGCAGGGAAGAAAAUGACGGUACCUGACCAAGAAGCCCCGGCUAACUACGUGCCAGCAGCCGCGGUAAUACGUAGGGGGCAAGCGUUAUCCGGAUUUACUGGGUGUAAAGGGAGCGCAGGCGGCGCGGUAAGUCAGAUGUGAAAACCCGGGGCCCAACCCCGGGAGUGCAUUUGAAACUGCCAUGCUGGAGUGCCGGAGAGGUAAGUGGAAUUCCUAGUGUAGCGGUGAAAUGCGUAGAUAUUAGGAGGAACACCAGUGGCGAAGGCGGCGUUCUGGACUGUAACUGACACUGAGGUACGAAAGCGUGGGGAGCAAACAGGAUUAGAUACCCCCGUAAGG